rnacentral:rRNA from 1 species
UACGUAGGGGGGCAAGCGUUGUCCGGAUUUAUUGGGCGUAAAGAGCGUGUAGGCGGUUUGGUAGGUCCGCUGUGAAAACUCGAGGCUCAACCUCGAGACGCCGGUGGAAACCAUCAGGCUAGAGUCCGGAAGAGGAGAGUGGAAUUCCCGGUGUAGCGGUGAAAUGCGCAGAUAUCGGGAAGAACACCCGUGGCGAAGGCGGCUCUCUGGAACGGUACUGACGCUGAGACGCGAAAGCGUGGGGAGCGAACAGG